rnacentral:tRNA from 1 species
GCGCUCGUAGCUCAGUCGGAUAGAGCAGGAGCCUUCUAAGCUCUUGGUCGAGGGUUCGAUUCCUUCCGGGCGCGCCA